rnacentral:lncRNA from 1 species
AUUAAGACCUUGGGGCUUGGAGACAGGCAGUGACCGUCCCAAGAUCACUCAGCUGAUAAGUGAUGGAGCCAGGAUUCCAGCCUAGACUGUCUGACUGCAAAGGGCUAUACGGGUGGGAGUCUAUAGAGUUGGGGGGUGGGGUGACAUUUCCUAGCCACCCUCCACAUAAAAAAUGAAAAGCCACUGUCCUAAUUAUUUCUUUACCCUAAAGGUCCAAGGGUAAAAUCCCAUUUCUUCCAAGAGGCCCUGCCUUCUUUAUCCAGCCCAGACUGCUCGUUUUCUGACCUCCCAUUUAUUUCUCAACCAGAUACUGACCCUCCACUCUGUGCCUGUCGUAGAUAUACGUUGUGAUGGGCCCCAGAGUUACAAAAUCCAGUAGGCCCUGGUCCUGCCAUCAGGUCCCUGUGGUGCGGUAGGGAGAGGGACCUGAGUCACCUGAGCAAGUUAGAUGUCCUGCUGGGGGCCUGGGCCUACUCCAAGAAAGGGACAACUGUCAUGUGUGUUCCCUCUGUGGCCCUAAAUUGGAAUUUCAGUACUACGUUUUAUUUUCUCAUGGAUUCCACUGCAAGUCAUUUGUUUUCAGGAAUAGGGAUGAAGUCCUGCUGGCCUAUGGUUGCCUCGGUUCUGUCAUCUGUGAAGUAGUAUAUUGGCCCCAACUGUUCAGGCCUCAUUCAGGAAUCCCCACAGUGAACUCUUCCUCUAGCCUCAUCACCCAGCACCACUCUCCUCACGACUCACAUUUCCCAGGUUGGACUGAAGACUCUGUUCCCACAAAUGUGUUCCUCCGUCACCUCCUGCCCCUGGUCUCCACCUGCCGCAGUCCUAUUCAUCCUUCCUGGCUCAUCGUGGAGUCUACCUCCAUCAAGCCUCUCCUGAUUUCCCUAACGAGAUGUCAUCACUGACUCCUAACCCUUCCUUGCAGAGCUCAAGUUUCCAGCAGGUUGAGCUCAAGGAGAAGAUUACAGAUGUAACUCAGCAUGGACGCUCCCCUAAGAAGCCAUCCCUGACAGAACCCAAUGCCUUGAGGUCAUCCCUUCUUCCUUGUAUUACCUUGCACCCUGUAUACACUUUAAUCAUUGCUCUUAUCACGCUGAAGUGUCAUUAUUUACACACUUGUGCUUUUUUCUGCCAGAUUAUGAAUUCCAUGAAAAAAGAGAUUGUGCUUUCUGCAUCUCUAGCCAAGCAUCUGCCACAUGAUUGAACAACUCACCCUGACCUCUGAUGCUACAGGGGUGCUGCCCAAUGUCCUUGCAGAGACUUGUUUCAACAGACAAGGAAGAGGC